rnacentral:ncRNA from 2 species
UUGUGUUUGUUUUAGUUAGGUACUACUACAUGUAGUUUAAUAGGGAAGUUAGGUGUAAGUCCGACGCUGUCCCCGCAACUGUAAUGCUAACGAUGAUUCGAUGCCACUGUGUACAUCAUGGGAAGGGAAUCAAAGGUCGAAGCUAAGCCAGGAGACCUGCCUAGUGAAACAGUAUAAU